rnacentral:rRNA from 1 species
GACGAACGCUGGCGGCGUGCUUAACACAUGCAAGUCGAACGGGCCCGCCCCUGUUUUUGGGGGUGGGUUGAGUGGCGAACGGGUGAGUAUCACGGGAGUAACCUGCCCCCUGCUCCUGGAUAACUGCUUGAAAGGGCGGCUAAUACGGGGUGUGCCGGCUGGUCCGCAUGGGCCUGGUCGGGAUAGUUUCAUCUUCGGGUGUUUCGGUGGGGGAUGGGCUCGCGGCCUAUCAGCUUGUUGGUGGGGUGAUGGCCCACCAAGGCGGUGACGGGUAGCCGGCCUGAGAGGGUGGGCGGCCACACUGGGACUGAGACACGGCCCAGACUCCUGCGGGAGGCAGCAGUGGGGGGUAUUGCACAAUGGGCGGAAGCCUGAUGCAGCGACGUCGCGUGAGGGAUGGAGGCCUUCGGGUUGUGAACCUCUUUCUCCGGUGGUGAAGGCCCUGUCCGUUGCGGCGGGGUUGACGGUAGCCGGGUAUGAAGCGCCGGCUAACUACGUG